GAUGAAGAACGUAGCGAAAUGCGAUACUUGGUGUGAAUUGCAGAAUCCCGUGAACCAUCGAGUCUUUGAACGCAAGUUGCGCCCGAAGCCAUUAGGCCGAGGGCACGCCUGCCUGGGCGUCACACGUCGUUGCCCCCCCAUCUACUCCUUCGGGAUUGCGGGGGGCGGAUGAUGGCCUCCCGUGCGCCUCGUCGCGCGGUUGGCAUAAAUGCCAAGUCCUCGGCGACGCACGCCACGACAAUCGGUGGUUGCGAAACCUCGGUUGCCCGUCGUGUGCGGUCGUCGCGCAUCGAGGGCUCGAAAAAAUUGUCGGGCUCCGGCUCGGCUUUCAACGCGACCCCAGGUCAGGCGGGGAUACCCGCUGAAUUUAAGCAUAUCAAUAAGCGGAGGA
rnacentral:misc_RNA from 1 species